UACAUGCAGUCGAGCGAAGAGAUGGGAGCUUGCUCCCUGAUCUUAGCGGCGGACGGGUGAGUAACACGUGGGCAACCUGCCCUGCAGACUGGGAUAACUCCGGGAAACCGGAGCUAAUACCGGGUAAUACAUCGCACCGCAUGGUGCAAUGUUGAAAGUUGGCUUUCGAGCUAACACUGCAGGAUGGGCCCGCGGCGCAUUAGCUAGUUGGUAAGGUAAUGGCUUACCAAGGCGACGAUGCGUAGCCGACCUGAGAGGGUGAUCGGCCACACUGGGACUGAGACACGGCCCAGACUCCUACGGGAGGCAGCAGUAGGGAAUCUUCCGCAAUGGACGAAAGUCUGACGGAGCAACGCCGCGUGAGUGACGAAGGCCUUCGGGUCGUAAAGCUCUGUUGUUAGGGAAGAACAAGUACCGUUCGAAUAGGGCGGUACCUUGACGGUACCUAACCAGAAAGCCACGGCUAACUACGUGCCAGCAGCCGCGGUAAUACGUAGGUGGCAAGCGUUGUCCGGAAUUAUUGGGCGUAAAGCGCGCGCAGGCGGUCUUUUAAGUCUGAUGUGAAAGCCCACGGCUCAACCGUGGAGGGUCAUUGGAAACUGGAGGACUUGAGUGCAGAAGAGGAGAGUGGAAUUCCACGUGUAGCGGUGAAAUGCGUAGAUAUGUGGAGGAACACCAGUGGCGAAGGCGGCUCUCUGGUCUGUAACUGACGCUGAGGCG
rnacentral:rRNA from 2 species